rnacentral:rRNA from 1 species
UUAAAUUGAAGAGUUUGAUCAUGGCUCAGAUUGAACGCUGGCGGCAGGCCUAACACAUGCAAGUCGAACGGUAACAGAAAGCAGCUUGCUGCUUUGCUGACGAGUGGCGGACGGGUGAGUAAUGUCUGGGAAACUGCCUGAUGGAGGGGGAUAACUACUGGAAACGGUAGCUAAUACCGCAUAACGUCGCAAGACCAAAGAGGGGGACCUUCGGGCCUCUUGCCAUCGGAUGUGCCCAGAUGGGAUUAGCUUGUUGGUGGGGUAACGGCUCACCAAGGCGACGAUCCCUAGCUGGUCUGAGAGGAUGACCAGCCACACUGGAACUGAGACACGGUCCA